rnacentral:rRNA from 1 species
ACGGAGGGUGCAAGCGUUAUCCGGAAUCAUUGGGUUUAAAGGGUCCGCAGGCGGAUGUAUAAGUCAGUGGUGAAAGCCUACAGCUUAACUGUAGAACUGCCAUUGAUACUGUACGUCUUGAAUUCGGUCGAAGUGGGCGGAAUGUGUCAUGUAGCGGUGAAAUGCAUAGAUAUGACACAGAACACCGAUAGCGAAGGCAGCUCACUAGGCCUGAAUUGACGCUCAGGGACGAAAGCGUGGGGAGCGAACAGGAUUAGAUACCCUGGUAGUCCACGCCGUAAACGAUCAUUACUCGAUAUUGGCGAUAUAUUGUCAGUGUCUAAGCGAAAGUGAUAAGUAAUGCACCUGGGGAGUACGAUCGCAAGGUUG